UUUUUUUUUUUUUUUAUAAAUAUUUGGCUGUCGGGCUGACACAGCUUUUAAAAAUAUAAAAAAAAAACUUCAAGUAAGUCUGCAGCCAUGAUAAAUUUCCAAAAAAUCUGGCGGGCAUCAAAAGUGAAAAAAAAAUGGGCCCAAUGCAUGGCAAACAACCGAGUAUAAACUAAAAACAUUCAUCCCCUUUUUUUUUUUUUCGAGAAACUCACAUGUAGAUCAAUGUUUUAAAAAUCGGACCAUUAAUUGAAUCGGUGAAAUGAAAGGGUCGAGGUUCAACUGGUCGGACCGGUUCAACCUCAGUUCAAUGAAUUUUUUAAAAAAUAAUUUAUAUAAAUAUAUAUAUGUACAAAAUAAGACAUGUAAUGGACUAAUUUAAUACUUUAUAUGAUGAAAAGUUUACUAUUUUUUAAUAACUUCGAUUUUUAAAAAUAAAUUUUUUAAAUUAUAAGUUAAAACAAAUAAAUUUCAUCUCAAUUUCAAUUAUAUCUAAAUCCAACCCAAAAAUAUCACAAUAUUUUGAAAUUAUACAAAAUUCACGUCUGUGAGAAUUUAGAUAUUGUGAACUUAAAUUUUAAUUUACGUUUUGAGAUUUAGAGAUUGCAAUUUAAAAAAUGAAGUUUGGAGUUCGAAGGAAGUCAAGAAAAUCGAAAAUAAAAAUGUAAACUUGAUAAGAAACAAAAAAUGAGAUAAAAGUGAGUGGUUGUGGCAUUAAAUAAUUUGGGUUAAAAAAAUAAUUCUUUUUUAACUUUUUCAAUUUAAUGGAUAAAAACAAAAUUAAAAGAUGGAAGAAAACAUCAAUAAAUUAAAAAUAAAGAGGUUUGAUUAAAAAGGGAGUGACAAAAGAAAAGAGGAUAGAGAGAGAGAGAGUUGAAAAUUAAAAAGAAAGAGCCAUGAGAGGAUGAGAUUUUGUAAGAAAAAUGGAAAAAAGAAAUAUGAGUGUUUGCUUUAUAUAAAUAAGCUAUCAAAAAAAACUAAUAAGAUGUGAUGGUGCAAUGGUUACUACAUUCGUCUUCUGUUACAAAGGUCCGGAGUUCGAUCCUUGGUAGUUGUGUUUUUAAAACUUAAAAAAAAAAAAAAAAAAAGGGAAGGUUGAAAACCGGUUCAAUGGCGGGUUUCACGGUUCGACCGGUUCUUGACCGGUUUUCUGUAAAAGUCAACUAUGGCAUUGAACCGGACCGGUGCUAUGCCCGAUUCGCGGUUCAAUCGGUCAAACCGGCCCUUCCGGUCCGGUUUCAAAACAUUGAUGUAGAUGCAGAUGCAGAUGCAGGUUGUAAUGUCAGUAGUACUAUUUGUCAGUAGUGGUGGGACGGAGUAGUAUUGUGGCAGUCGGUAGCUUCUUCUUCUUUUUGUUUUUUUUUUCUUUUUUUCGUAAUACUUGUCCUACUAAUACUGUACUACUUAUAGAUUCUUAAAAAAAUUUAAAAAUCUUUUUAACUUUUAUAUUAAAAAAUUUUUAAAAAUGGAAAAAUUGUAGGGACAAGUAAAAAUGCGGAGGGACGAAAGUGAGAUGAAGGUGAGUGCAUGUGUGAGUGUGAGAGUGAGGAGAUGAGAAGGAGGUCUAGGAGGAGGUCGGAGGUGGUGGGAAAAAGGUAAAGACAAAAGUGGAGAGAGGGACAUGAGGAGACUAUGUUGAAGAAAAGAAGGGAAAUAAGUAUAUUAGUGUAGCAGUAGACCAGUAGUAGCGUAUCUUCUCUCAUUUCUCACAUGUCCCUCAACACCCUUAUCUUCAUCUCUCGUCACCUUUUUUUUACCUCACCAUUUCAAAGGUACUACUAUUAGUAAUUGUAACACCUAAUUGUAGGUGUUACUAAAUUACUACUAAUUGUAACGCUACUACUAAUUGUAACACCUAAUUGUAGGUGUUACUAAUAAAUUGUAGUAACACCUACGAAUUGUAAUUAACAUUCUUCUUUUUUUUUUUUUCAUUUUUGAUGCCCACCAGACUUUUUGGAAAUUUAUCACGGCUAAACCCCGCAACCUUGAGUUUUUUUUUUUAAAAAAAAAACUGCGUCAGCCCGGCAGCUUUUUUGUAGAUUUCCGUUUUGCUGCUCGGCUUGUUUAGCCCGGCAGCCAAACAUUUACUAAAUUUUUUUUUUCUCUUGCCUGCUGGGCUUUGUUAGCCUAGUAGGCAUAAUUUCGUACCAAAAGUCCGUCAAAACAUUAUUGUUGCGAUCUUUUUUUGAACAAUAAUCAGAGAAAUUAGCCCCAAUUAGCUGCCCUUUCUCUUAAAUUUUUUUUUUCUAUGAUCUUAAUUGAGCCACAUUGUUUAGGACCUAAUAUGAAUCGCUAAUUAUUAUAAAAGUCAUAGGCUCCGUUUGGAUUAACUAUUUUUUGGGGGUGUUUUUAAAAUAUUUUACUGUAAUAAUGUAAUUGAAAAACUUUUACUGUAUGUUUUUAAUGGAUAGUCAGGUGACAGAUUCCAUAGUGCUGAACGAAUUUGAAUAAAUUUAUCACUUCCUUUGUUCUAAUUAUUUUGUCAUAUUUCGAGAAUCAAACUUUUUAAAAAUAGUGUUUGAUUGUAAUAUUUUUGUACUUUUUUUUCGAUCUUAUCCUUACAAAUUUAAAAUUUGAAUUUGAAUAGUAACAUAUAUAUGAUUAAAUGAGAAACUAUAUUGAAAGGAGUGACUAAAAAUGAUCACCAACUAAUGUUAGUGGUAUGGCAUGGUACAAGGAUGUGAAUUAAUUGCCGGGACCUGAAAUUAGAGGACGGGAAUGGGAGGAAGCAAACGAGUCUCGAAGGAGAGAGGCUGGGGUCGGGGCGGGAGGGUGGAGUUUGGGCAGAGACAUAGUUGUCAAAAAUCGAUCCGGAUCGUAUUCAGAGUAGCAAAUCAUAUUAAUCUAUGUAGGAUCGUAGCAGGAUCGGUAGGAUCGUACGAUCCUACAAUUUUUUGUAAAUUUGUGAAAUACGAAGCUCCAUUUUGCAAGUAAAUGAAAAUAUUUGUGAUAUAUUUGUAAUUUAUCAAAGAAUUACAGCCUUUAAUUGCAAUUAGGAGCUUUUGGUAGGAUCUUACGAUCCUACGAUCUGAUUCUGUGAAACUAAAAUCGAUCCUACGUAGGAUCCCGAUUUUACAAACCUUGGGUAGAGACGAUAAAUUGGGUGGUCUUUUAGGAAUUUUACCAAUUAACUUGGGCAAUCCAAUAAGGCAGGAGUUGUACCAUGAAUAAGUACAAAUUGUCAUCUUCGUAUUUAACUUUUUAAUUAGAUGCUUGUCGAGACAUUCUCAUUGCAUAUCACAUCACGUAAUUGUUGCAAUAUGUGGCACUAGCCGCACUACCAACCAGGCUCACCACUUUCUUUUUUGGGACCUACCACUUUCACCUGAUUAAUUAACCUAUUUAAAUCCUUCGGUACCACUUUGAUUUAGUACCAUUUUACAACAGUACUCUAUCUAUUUGGACCUUUAUGGUUGUACGUUGCCAUUAAUACUCUAAUUUGGUCAUAUCAUUUUCGUCCAAGUUAGAUCAUUUAUAUCAACUUUUUUUUUUUUUGUUAUAUUGAAAGCAAUAGCUCGUAUUAGACCAAUGAUAUAACCUAACCUGAGUCAUUUAUUGCAUGAUUGCAAAUAUUCACUGCUUUCUCUUUAGUACGGCGUAGUGUUAGAGAACCUAAUUUAAUAAGUUUGUGAGAUCUAAUUGAUUUGUGAGUAGGGUUGAAAAUGAGGCCAGUCGAAUUCGAUUUUGAUCUUAUCGAGUCGAGUUUUGACUCAAUUUUAUUGAAUCUAAACUUGACAAGCUCUUAAUGUAAAACUCGAGAUUGACCUCAAAUUCGAGUUGAGUCAAACUCAAGUGCGAGCCUACUCUAGUUUAAAAAAAUAAUUAUUUUAUUUUAAAAAUAAAUAAAAUAGUAAUUUUUCUUAGCAAAUAAUAAAAUAUUAGAAAUAUAUAUUUAAUUUCAUAUAUAUAUAUAUAAAAUCAAGUGUAUCCCAAACUAAUGAGUUAAGUUUUUCUGUACUUGACUAAUAGUAAUUUCUGUACUUGACUUAAAAUCAAGCUUAUUUGGGAUUGAUUUGUUUCUGGAUGAUUUGUAUAUAUCAGUGAAUGUGUUUGUAUUGUUGCUUAAUGCUGGUAAUUCAUGAAGCAACAGUAAGCAUCUACAUCUAUAUUUCAUAAAGCAACAAAAGGAAGAAGAAAGAAAACAAAAUGACACAAAACGCAGUCCUAAAUCAAAUGAAGAGUUAAAGGGCCUGUUCCAUUUGCAUGCUUCACUCGGGUAAACAAAACUAGUGUUGAGGGCACGCCCAUGUGUGUAUAAUUUAAGAAGAAGUUAAUUUUUAUAAAAAAAAUUUUAAUGAAUUGAUAGCCAUCUUGAUAAUUAUGCCCAUUGAUAGUUAUCUUGGUUGUUAAACCUUUUUGUUUGAUACGAAAAAAUUUGGAUAUUUAAACCUAUUGGUAAUUGCGAUGAAAAUUAUGUUGGUUAUAUAUAAGAAUAAAUUUUAUAUACAUUGUCAGUGCAUACACUAUCACCGUUAAAUUCAUGACAUGUGUGUAAAAAUUAAAUUUCAAAUUCAAAUUUUACAUAAUUAUCAUUCAUCCAAUUCAUGACAUGUGUAUAAAAAUUAAAUUUCAAAUUCAAAUUUUACAUAAUUAUCAUUCAUCCAAUGCUGACAGUGUAUACACUGCUAAUGUAGGAAAGAUUAAUCCUAUAUAUAAUUGGAAUUGGAUAGUUAAGAUAAAAUUUAAUUUUUGUGAGUAUAAAGAUGUUUACCCCAAACCCUUCCUUUCUCUUUAUUAUAUAUAGUAUAGAUAUUAAGCAGGUCUAUUUCCAAUCCUAAUAGAUAGACGAUUUAGAGCGCAACAUGGUCCAAACCAGCUCAAUAAGAAAACUCGCAUGUCCAAUAAAGUAUGAACUACAACAUCUGAUGAAGACAAUACAACCAACACAACUGCAAGAAUUGUAAAACGGAUCCAGUCCUACAGAAAUCUCAGUUUCAACCUAAAAAAAAGUUAAGCAGUUUCAGCAUAAGGAGUCUCAAGAAUAGCUUGCUCAGCUUCCUGCACUUCCUUCUCUGUCUUCCUCCCCUUCUUUGACUUGUAGUACACGCUCAUGAAAGUUCCAACAGCUCUGUAUUUCCUCCUGCACUCCUCAUAGAGGUCAGCGUCGAACAUCCUCCAGAAGUUCUUCUCUGUCAGCUCUGACACAGCAUACUGUGGCUGGAAUCCAUGGUUUUCAAUCAACCAGUUCUCCAUUCUACGGACAGCAUCAGCCCCAUCAAAUACCUCACCUCUCAAGACUGGUCCAGGGGCAUAGUAGAUUCCAACAUCAGUGUACAUCUGAGCAUAAUGUGUAUCACCCUGCCUGUGCUGUUGCUCAAAUCCUGGCUCAGGAUAAAUCAUGGUUUUCACUGGUAGUUUAUACAUUCGGUGUGGGCACAUCCAAAUUGGAUACAACUAAAGAAACAUAAAACAACCAUUCAGAGAUCAAACAGAAUAUAUAUAUAUAUAUAAUAAUAGGAAGGCAAGCAGUAAAUUCUAAUUAGCAACUUAAAUGGAUAAUAAGGACCGGCAACAAAGCUCCGGGUAUGUGUACCGUUGUUUUGAAGAAAAGAAAUUAUCAUCAUACCUCCAUUUCACGGUGGACCCACUCGAGAGCAUCUCCAACCUUGUAAAGAGGAACAAGCAUAUCCUGAAUGACAUGCAUCUCAUGAUAAUAGUUCCUAAUAGCGUCACCUUGAGUAGCUUUAAGCAGAGAUACCUUGGGUGGCAUCAUCCAACCAAGGAGAAACCUGAACCACCAUUGAUCAGCAAAUGGAAGAAUGAGCUUCCCUUCCCAAUACAAACACCUUGUGUGUCUGUGGUAAUACUCCCUUGUAGGGAUGUACUCCACAAACUCACCUUUCUUUAGAGCUGUUUGAGCAUGCUGAUAAAACCAUGUCUUGAACCACCAACAAACCCUGUUAAUCUUAUUUCCCUUCUGUUUGGCCUCUUCUUUUGAAGCAUAUCUACCAGUCAUGCAAACAGCUUCUGUAGGAGAGUAAAUCAUGGUUUCUACAAAAUCUGGAACCUUGUUAGGAUUAUCCUGAUCCCCAUCCCUGGGGCAAAAAGAAUCAAUAUAUCCCUGUGCAAGCUCUUGGAGAUUGCCAACAACUGGUUUGUAAGUUACUCUCAUAUACUCUUUGACAGGAAUAAGCUUGAUCUCAGCAGCAACGAGAAGCCCCAGUGUUCCCUGAGACCAUGGGAUAGCAUAGAAAAGGUCAGAGUAUUCAUUGUCCUUGGUAGCUCUAACUAACUGCCCAUCUGCUAAUAUAAUUUCAUAGGCUACGACGGUAUCAGAGAAUAGGCCAUAAAUAUGGGAGCUCCCUUCAAUCCCAUAGCCAUUAAUGAGCCCACCAACAGUCAGGUCAUCAAGCUCAGCAACAACUGCUAUGGCUAGAUUCAUUGGGACGGUAACCCUAGAUAUAUGACCCAUAUUGACAAGAGGCUCAACUCUAGCAAUCAUUCUCUCCUUGUCAACAUCAAGUAUGUUUCUGAAAGCAGAAAGAUCAACCUCAAAAUGCCGAGCACGCUUAUAGUCAACAUUGCGCAUUCCAACAGCUAUCCAUGGCUUCCGCGCUGUGCAAACAAGACCAUCCUUUGAUGGAUUCCUUUCUUUGAGCCGCUUCACAACUUUCUUAACAUUUUCAUCAUGCUCUUUUUGACGCUGCUUGAAGGAUUUACACUCAGACCGCACAUCCCCCAGAUAGUGCAGGAAGUACAUCGUGAAUGAGAUAGGCAAAACAACAAAGAUAACAAUGAUCCACCGAAACUGGACAAAGUAGUCCACCAAGCCCUUCUUCCUCUUGGGGCGAAGAGGGGCCUCAAGAUCUGACAUAUUGGUGAAUGAAUGUAUAUAGUACACCCUAAAAAAAUGAAAAUCAGAAUUCUUUAGUUUACAGAUAAAACAUACACCAUGCACUUUAGACUCAAAAUCUGCUACAAUGGCAUAAACAGAAGAAACUUGCAGUUAUCAAAUGAGACAUUUUACCAGAUAGCCAGCUAAUUACUUAUUGACAAGCAACAUUCCAGUUCACAUAUGUCAGAAAUGAUAACUCCAAAGAAACUAUCGUGACAAACAGCUCAAAAGGAUACAGAUGUAACCGUAAGCACCAAAUAUAUUUUAAAAAUGGCCAUAAAAUUGUUUCAUGCCAGAACCACAUUGUCCUACCUAAAACUGUUUUAACUAGCCACAAGAGGCAUGAAAAGUCUGAAAACAGUUUCUAACAUAGCAACUCAAUGAAAAACAAAAAUGCAGAAGUAAGAAAACGAGAGACUGUGCUGAAGUCAGACGUUUAGAGAUUUUACACCUUGACUUGUUCUCCUAGAACUUAUAGAUUCUGCACCAUUCACGCACAGAAGAAUACAUUGAGACAAUCAAUGAAUGGAAUCUGUACAAUCUACCAUAGGACGGUAAAAGCACAGUUCCUACAGGAUGAUAUCUAAUGUUUUCAAAGUGUUCUUUUUGCAGUAAUGAUUUAGUACCAAACAAAUAAGAAGAUCGUUCAAAAAUCACCUAACAGGUACAAAUUCGCUGAUUUAACUACCACGGGGCCCCAAUCACCAGAAAUUGUUCAAUUUUGUACAGUCACGUGCCUUUGCAACAAAAAGUUUUCGCAAUAUUGAUCCUUUUAUUUAUCUUUCUCAUGGGUGCCAUGUAUUAUUUUAAUAUUUACAGCUAAAAGAGGGCAUCAAAAUCUGAAGCUAAUUCUAUACAGAUCCAUUAAAGAGUUUUGCUUUUUACCCUUAUUUUGCUAAGCAAACAUCACAUGAGCAUUCACUUGUCAGUGAUCACAAACAAGGACAACCACAUUCUUCUUACAGUAUAUUCCACUUCACCCUUUUACCAUCAAAAGGGUUCUUCACUUCAGAUUUGAAAAUGCAUUGUGAACUACCAAAAAAGAAAAGAAAAAAAAAAAAAAGCUUUCAGCCCUCAAUUCUAAUCAUUCACAUUUUUACUCCAAAAGCAGAAUUCAGUUCACAGAUCCAGAAAACACACGAGUCAAAGAAACCACGGACUAAAAAGAGUUAACAGGUAAAACGAUUUUACAAACCAAAACAAACGAUUGUACACUUAAAGAUAUUAAAUUAAACUAAAGGCCUAGUAUAUCUUCAGAUCUAUUGUGCAGAACACGUCUAAAUCUCAAGAAUGAAAAAAUUUUUGCAAAAGAACAGCCCAUGCAUGCAAGCAAAACAGAAUACACAAAAACCCAAAUGAUAAAGCUAAAAAACUUGCUACCCAAAAAAAAAAAAACAGAAAUCUUCAAGAAAAACAACACAUCAAAAGCCCAGAACAUAAAUUCCUUGAAAUAUUGAUUCUUGAAGCAAUUAAAUUCAGAAUAAUUAUCCAUAAUAAGCACCAAGAAAGCAAUGUAGAAGAAAGCAUAAUAUAAAAUUCCUGAAACAGGGAUUGGAGGGAGGUACCUCAAGAGUCAGAGAGGAGAGUGGAGAGGAGUAAGAGGACGAGCAAAUGCUGAAGCUGAAAGUGACAGGAAAAGCCGAACAUAAAUAAUAGAGAGCUGAAGAGGAGAAGGGGUAGUUUUGUAAAAGAUGGUGUCAGACUCAGAAUCCCAUGGGACUGCUAUACUGCUAUAUAAGCGGCUAUAUGGCCGUUAUAUGGGCUUUGAAGAAUAUCUUACAUAUUUGUGUAGGCAUUAAUUGAAUUAGAGUCUUUGCCUAAUCUUUUAAGGGUCUGUCUUAAAGCUGACACAGCAAAGACAAGGGAUAAUAGAUAAAAUUAAAUUAAAAAAUUAUACAAGAUUAAUUAAAGAAAAUAAAUAGAUAUAAAAGAUGUUAGAUAAAAUUAAAUAAAGAAAGUAUGUAUAUAUAUAAGAGGCUAAUAAUUAUUAAUAUGUGUACAUAGAUGAUAAGUUAGGUAAAAAUAUUAGAUAUGUUAACAAAUAUCCAUUAAAAUAUGUAUAUAAAUAUAAAAGAGAAUAAUAAUUAUCAGUAUAUAUUUAUAUAUAUGGUAAGUUAAGUGAAUUUUAAUUAUGUUAACCAGUGCCCAUUAAACCCAUCUUUUAAUUCAAGAAAUCAAUCAUUAGUUGCACAUUGAUAGAGCUCAAUUAUUAGGCUAAUGGAAAUAAUAGUACUUACUACAUUUAUUUUUUGAAAAUAGUAUAUUUUUUCAAUUGAUAGUAUUACAUUGUAGUAGUUUUUUUUUUUGAAGUGACACCACGGAAGAAAUAGUUAACACUUUAAAAAGACAUUAACUGGUAUUACACGUUUUAAUUAAAUUGUCAUACAGAAGGAAGACAUUAGGUUUGUUGGAACAUUAUUUAGGAUUAAACUUUUUAUACAUUGAUAGUGUAGUAAUUUUUUUUAUGUUAAUAGUUAUAAAUGUAUGCUACAUCUUCAUGAUUUAACUUUUAAAUUCAAAUUCAUAUUAUGUGAUAUGAUAUAAAUCUAUUACUUUUAAAAAAAUAUAUACACUAAUAAUGUAAAAAAAUUACUCUAUUAUUUAUACAUUGAUAGUGUAGUAAUUUUUUUUAUGUUAAUAGUUAUAAAUGUAUGCUACAUCUUCAUGAUUUAACUUUUAAAUUCAAAUUCAAAUUAUGUGAUAUGAUAUAAAUCUAUUACUUUUAAAAAAAUAUAUACACUAAUAAUGUAAAAAAAUUACUCUAUUAUUUAUACAUUGAUAGUGUAGUAAUUUUUUUUUAUGUUAAUAGUAAUAAAUGUAUGCUACAUCUUCAUGAUUUAACUUUUAAAUUCAAAUUCAUAUUAUGUGAUAUGAUAUAAAUCUAUUACUUUUAAAAAAAUAUAUACACUAAUAAUGUAAAAAAAUUACUCUAUUAUUUAUUCGUACAUAUCCAUUUCACUUAGUGGUAACUUUUUUUUUUGAAGGAACUUAGUGGUAAUUUUAUUGACACCCAAAACAAAAAAUCUCAAUCAGAUGGCCAACUUUUGCCAACAAUUGCAUCAAAAGUGCCCUACUCAUAUAUUUUCCCCGUUCCAAUAUUAGAGCCGUUUUUCAGAAAUUCAACUUUUUAUAAAAAUAUGAUAUCUAGAUGAUGUGGCAUUGAUAAAUUGAUAUAUAUAUCCUUUGUAUUUAAAAUAUUCUCUUAAUAAAUAUGUAUUGAAAAUUUUAAAAACUACUUUUUUAAAUGAUAUGAUUAAAAAGUAUAUGUUAAUUUUAAAAUAUUAAUAAAAUAAAAAUAUGACAACAACGAUGGAACAGUCAUCCAUUGGUACAUUCUAGUCAUAACGUUGAUUUAUCAUACUAGGCUUCUUCAUGUCAAAGUACGAUACGUCAACAUCAGGAACCACCAAGAACGACUAAAAGGUUGGUACAUUAUGAGCCAUAUCAUACUACGUCACAAAAGGGUUUUUCUAUUUAGUGUUUUAAAAGAUGCACCAAAAAAAAUUGUCCAGUAUCACUUUUUUCAUCAAAAAAUGCAAUUCAAAACUGUAUUGAUAAUCUUAGAAUUUUUAAACAACGGAUCUACCUCUUUCUUUAUGUGUACACAGUGGCUGGCGGAGCCAGAAAAAGUUUUCAGUAGGAGUAAAAGUAACGUUAAAAUUUUUUACCUACUCAUUUUUUAGUUUUUUAAGUAAAAAAAAAUUCACCAAUAAGUUGAAAUAAAAAGUCUUUUUUUCAGUUUACUUUAAAUGGAAUUUCGUGAUCCACAUAUUCUUUUAAAAUAUUAGUUCAUAAACCAAUUUAGAGAACCACAUAAUUCUUUUACUUCCUUCAUAAAAAAAAGCUUUGGAAACACAUUUAAAAUUAUAUCAAAAUUUUACAAGUAUUGCCCGUGCCCCCACCUUAAAUCAGCCACUGUGUGUACACGAUUUGGUGUAACUCGCGUUGGGAUAUCAAACAGGAAAACCUAUCACGUUUUCAUGAAUACCUAAGAGCUAUAGUUAAUUUUCAACCAAUCAUAUACAAGAGAACAAACAAAUAGAUCCAUGAUGUGUUAAAUUGUGAUCUAAAGUUGGGAAUCAUAUUAUCAACUAGAAUCGAAACAUAAUAACACUUUUUUCUAAAAAAUUACAAAUAGCAACACCUAUUUCAUUUUUGAGUCAGGUUAAAGGUGCUCAUUAGCCACUCAUUGAAAUGUACUUCAACUGAUAAAUUUUUUAAAAAGUAAAAUUAAUUAAGAAAAGCGUAUAAAUGCAUGGUAGGUUGGACACAUAUUAGGAUAACCCUUCAUUUUUAACCGGGGAGAAAGGUUCCAACUAAAGAUUUACAACGGUAACAAUGGGCAUUCAUCUAAAAAUUUUUGUUUUGAAUUAUCAAGUUUAAUGCUACUCUUUUUUUCUUUUUAUAUUUUGUAAAAAGAGUUAAAAUGAAUUCGAUUUCGAUCACUAUCACGAGGAAGGAUAUGUUUGCGGGAUCAUAGAUCAUUCACAUAUACUCUUACAAAUCGCUCACCAAUACAACUUUCACAUCAACAAUGAAAUUUUGUGAGGAAGUGAUUUGUUUUUAUCAAUUGAGUCAAUUUAUGUUCGUGGUACAGUGCUACUAUGUUAUUACAACUAUUACUCAAAUUGUCAUAUUAUUAAUUAAUCUUACUUGUUUAAAAAUUUAACAGUUGAAGUAAGAUUAACAGUUUCUUUAACAGCUAUUACUCAAAAUAUGGACCUGCUGUAAUAUAACAUUAGUUUCUUUCAAUUUCUGCUGACAAAAUUAUAAAUCAAACAGUAAGUCAGAAAACGACAGACAUUUGAAACGAUUAAACAAAAAUUAAAAUACAUCUCGAUUUCCGCGGAAAUAUCGGAGACAGAUCACCUGGAGAUUCGAGUGGACUGGCAGUCACGUGGUCUUAGUGGGUGAGGCACGUGACAUGGUGUCCCAUUACGUACCAAAUUCUAUUAGGAGUAAAUUAAAUAUCUAAUUAAUUCAUUCAUUAAUUGGACCACUUAAUUAAAUAUUUGUAUAAAUAUCUGAAUUUAGAUUAUUUAAUCCUGCUUGUUAAUGCAACACAGCUAAAAAGGAUAUGUCCUUUCAUAGUUUUUCUAACCUUUUUUCUUUUUUUUUUGUGAUCUACUUCUAUAGUUUUUGUAUUUUUUUCCAUACAGUUUAAAUUAAAAAAGUAUUAGUUGAACCAGAACACAAUUAAAUUCAAAAAAAAAAAAAAAUUAGAUGUUGGAUCCAUUAAGCUUAAGGUACACUUAGAGAUGAAUUAAUUCUUUUGUUAAACUUUUCUUUUUGUGUCAGGAGAUUCUUCUUGGGAUUAUUCAGUUGAUAAAGUAUUACUUUGGUGUAGGUUUCUGAAAACUAGACAGGGUUUUUUGUUUUUUGUUUUUUGGUGGUGUCGGGGUUUUUUUUUUAAAAAAAAAAUAUAUAAUGAUCUAGAAUUCCAGAUCUCUUAGCUAGUUGUUAGCUUGCCUUUGUUUUUUCUUUUGACUUGAACAUAUUUACAGUUUUCAUUUUUUUAAAAUUAAAUUCGUCUCCUUUGCCAAGAAUUUUUGGUUAAUGUUUCCUCAUGCUCUCUCGUUGGCAUAAAUAAAAAAAUGGUGAAAUGGUGAUUAAAAAUGAAUGUUUAUUUUUAAACUCAUCAUUAAAAGUUUAGUUCAACUCUCAACUGAUUGUUGCAGUGUCUGCAAAUCAAGAUACGAUUUUGAUUAACUCCAAGUUAGCUUGUUAAUUAUUACAUGGACACUUUUCACAAGAGAAUAAAGGUUUGAUGCAUAUAUAGUUUUUGUGAAACAUUAAAAAAAGAUUAAUUACAAUUAAUCCACUGAAGGUGUACCCUAUUUCUCGCUUUAUCCCCUAACUUUUAAUUUUUGUCACUUAACUUCCUGUAGCACAAAAUUACCUUUCCAUUAAUUUGACUUUUCAUUUAUCUUUUUCCCUUUCACCUUUUUCCCCUCUUUUAUUUAUUUUUUCUCUUUCUUCUUACUUCCAUCAUUUCCAAUAAAAACUCCAUCUCAACGGAAAAUUUUAUUUUGAAUUUGUAAUUGCAUUUCUAGGUGAAGUUUUUUAAUUGUGAUUAACCCAAAAAAAUAAACAAAAGAAAGAAAGGAAGAUAAUUAUAUGGGCAAAAGUCAAGGAGGUCUUAGUCUAGAAAUCAAUUAUGUUGAGAUCUCUAAAGUCUUGGAUUCAAAUCUCCUUUCCUCUUCCUCUUUUUUUAAAUCUCACUUCUCUCUCUCUCUUGGCAUCCAUUUUUUUUUAAAAAUUACAUGGGCAAAAAUAUCACUUUUAUCUUCUCUCCCAAAACAACUGCAAAAAUAGCAAAUAUUUGACUGAAACAAGUAAUCUAAUUUCUGGAAAAUCCCAUCCUUACAGAGUUCUCUUUUUUUUUUUUGAAAACAAAUUGAUAGGUCGCAAUUUUGUUAUAUAUUUUAUAAUUAAUUCCUUCGCAUUAUACUACCAAAUGUGCGUUAACUAGUAGAUUUUAUUUACUUUUGGGAAUUUGUGCUGUUCGCAAGGAGUUGGAACAGAAAGUGAUAAAAAGGCGCAAAUUCCUCACUACAUUAGCUUUGAGCCGUCUAGCGUUGCAAAGUGGGCUACAAACCAUUGCCAAGGUUGUUUCUUGAUUAGAGCGUAGUUAUUAUUAAUUUGGUUUUAAUAAUUUGUCAUUUCAUUUUUAGUUGGCCAUUUAUUUUUAUUUGAACCAUUUAAUUAUUACCAAAAAACUCCUCUUUGUUAAUUUGAAUUUGAAAAGAGACAAAUAACCUCAAUCCCUAUGGAUUCGACCCUGCUUAUCACUAUCUACAGAAAUUAUAUUUUGUUUGAGUAGGUAUUUAUUAUUGCACAGGCUCGACAACCUGUCACAAAUGUCUCAAACGGGCCAAGUUGCCUUCCCGAUUGGUAAUCAUAAAUUUGAUAGGGAAAAUGUAAAAGGUGAAAAAACCAUAAACAGACCAUUUUUACUAAUCAACUAACCAUCCCAAGAGAACGCAUGAUGUCUUCAAUUCAUUGACCCUUAAAUAAAUCAUUCUUAAAGGGUCUUUCCAUUUAAGUUCGCUAAGACUAAGAGAAACAUAUAUAUUUCUCCUAAGAAUAAACUUCUAGAGAAAAGUAUAAAACCUGUCAACAAAAAUCCUUGGAAAGUCAUAGCUCGAUGCUGCUGAUCAAUACGCUAAUUCCAGAUGUGUUCGGAUACAAAAUUAUUUGAAAUAUUAUUUUAUUUACAUCAUAAACAUAUUUUUUAAUUCAUCUUUCUAUAUUUCAAAUUAUUAUUUUAUUUCACAUACAUUACGUCACAAAAAAUACUAGAAUAAUUAUUCCAUUACUUCUUUUUGGUUCAAAAGAAAAGUUUGUAAUUCAACUGAGAAUCUCACACGAUCACUUAAUUUACAACGUCCCAAUGGACUUUAAGUCAUUGUCGAUUUUUCAAGAAACAGAAGGAAGAGAAAAUGGGGAAAGACAGAUUGGAGAUGAGCACAAGAGAAACAAGCUCAGAAGAGGGCAAGAUAAACAAGAAACCUGGAUGUCCAGGGAGAAGUUUUCCACGCUGUCUUUGACGAGAGAAUCAAUUGUUUGAAUAGAGGUGAUGUAUACUGCACACAAUGGAGGAUGGAUUCACCGGUACAUUUUCCAAAUCAACAGAAUGAUGAGAAGCUGUUCCACAAUAUAAAAACAUUUGGAUCCAUUUGAUUAGUACACAUUUUUGGAGUUUAAUGUCACUAUAUUGAGCAAUUUGGAUCCAUUUGAUUAGUUGUAGAAUAUUAUAUAUUUGGAAAAUUACAUAUUACUUGUAGAAGGGUUAGACAAUAACAUUUCGACGUUAAGUCUUGAAAGCUCUUCUUAAUGAGGAUUUAACAGCUAUGGCCUGAGUAGGAUUGAUGUAAUUGUAUUGAAAGAGAAGAAGAAAAGUUCUUAUAGAUGGGGUUAAUAUCAUUUUGGCCUCUAAAGUGGUUAAAUAUCUCAAUUUGUUCUCUCUAACUAAAAGGAUCUUGAUUUGGUCCUCCAAAGUAGCAAAACGUCUCAAUUUGAUACCUCUAACUAGGGGUGUGCAAAAUCGAAAAAUUCCGAUUUACCGACCGAAUUCGAAUUGAAUUCGGAAUUUUCGAAAUCGGUAAAUCGGAAAUCGGAAUCGAAUUCGGAUUUCCCGAAUUCAUAUAUUUCGAAUUUGGUUCGAAUUCGGUAAUGGAGUUUUUCAAAUCGGAAUUUCCGAUUUCGAAUUCACAAUUCGAAAUCGGAAUUCGAAUUCCGAUUUCGAUUUCAAAUUCGUUUUUAAUAUAUAAAUAUAUUUUUUAUACAUGUAAUAUAAAAUUUAUACUAUAUAAUAUUAUAUAAAAUUUAUAUAAUAUAAUAUAAUAUAAUAUAAUAUAAUAUAAAAUUUAUAAAAUUUAUAUAAUAUUAUAUAUUAUUAUAAAUUUUAUAUUAUAUAAUAAUAUAUAAAUUUUUCCGAAUUCGGUGAAAUCGGUGAAAUCGGAAUUUACCGAAUUCCGAAUUGAAUUCGGUACGAAUUCGAAUUCGGAAUUGGUGAAUUCGAAAUCGAAUUCGGUCGAAUUACCAGGUACCAAAAUUUCGAAAAAUUCCGAAUUCAAACUUCCGAAUUACCGAAUUCGAAUUCGAUGCACACCCCUACCUCUAACUAGAAAAGUUUCAUUUUAGUAAAGUAGCACAAAAUCUCAAUAUGGUCUCUUAAAUAAAAAAAAUUCUCAAUUUGGUCUUCCAAAUUGAGAAAGUACCACCUUGGUUCUCCAUUAUUACAUUAGUGGUUCAAUAACUCUCGAAGAAUCAAGUGGUAAUAAACAAAACUAAGAAAGAUUUAUUACACUAUUAAAAUUUUUUUCCUAUUUUAGCAAUUUCAAUGAAAAGUGCCUUCUUUUAUUGAAUUAAUUUUUUGCACACUUUUUUAAUCUCUAAAUUGUUCAAUAUUAUAUCAUAAAUAACCUGCAAAAGAUUGCAUCAUUGUCAGCAAAACACUAGGUUGCAAAAUGCUUGCUAGACUUGUAGAACUAUUAAAACAACUUCCUAUCUUGUAGUUUAAUUUUUCAUAUAAUCAGCAAGCCUCUAAUACCUUUAAUAUUAUAGGAUGAUCAAUUUGGAAUAAUUUUUUUCAAUAAGAGGAUCAAAUUGAGGUUUUUUGUUUGAGGGAUGAAAUUGAGAUGUUUGGGUAUUUCAAAGGACCAAAUUGAGAGCUUUUCAAUAUAAGGGACAAAAUUGAAAUUUUUAUGGAGGACCAAAAUGAAAUUAAUCCUUAUUUAUUCUAACAAGUGGGAACUUGUUCUACCAAUUACUUAAGGGUCAAUUUCUGGUCCUCCAAGUUGAUCAAAAAUCCGAUUUUGGUCCUCAAAAUGAAUAAUUCUCAGUUUGUUCCUUAAAGUGGUAAACUAUAUUCAUUUGGUCCCUCAAAUUGAGGAAGCCUCACUUUGGUCCUCCAAAAUAGUACAAAGUCUCAAUUUCUCCCUCAAAUUUUAAAAACAAAACAAUCUCAUUUUGGAUCUUCAAUUUAAGAAAAUAGUUUUAGUUCCAAACCUAUUAUAAAUAAAGACAAAGACAUCAAACUAUUAAAGAUAAAAACUAAGAAUGAUUAUUUUAUUAUUCUAGUAAAGUUUUCUUGCUUUGCUUAUUUCAAUUAAAAAAAAUUAGGAUAAUAUAAGUGAAACCUCCAUGUGGUUUGCAAAAGUCAAUCCACUUCCCUAUGGUUCAAAAAUAUGCAUAAGAUCCUCUUGUGGUUUCGAAUGAUGCACAAUAAUUGAUAGUUCUAGCAAAGACAUCUCGAUGUUUGAUUACAAAAUGCGAUAGAAGAAGGAAAAUAAGAAUUGGAGUUAUUGUGGAUAUUUUCGAACCAUAGAAGGUGGCUUGACUUUCUUGCAAAUCGCAAUGAAGUUCCACGUAUUUUUCCCAAAAGAUAACCUUCUUUUGUAGAGACUGUGUAACUUUUUUCCUUUACAAAACCUCUAACCUAAAUUGCUGCUUGACAGAAUCAAAAGUAACCAACAAAAGAUUGCCCUUCGUCAUCGGAAAAUUAAGUUCACAAUAUUUCUUGUUGAACAAUUAAUAAAACUAGUUUAUUUUCCUUCUUUUGCCGAUUAAAUUCUUUUACAAAACCAAUUUUUAAUGCUUUUAACAAAAUUGGCUUAAUUGAUCAUCUUGGACCAAGUUGAGAACUUUUUGGUUAAAGGAUCAAAUCGAGCUUUUUUGCUACUUUGGAAGACCCAAAUGAGGGAUUUUUCAGUUUAAGGGACCAAUUUGACAUAUAUUUGCUACUUUGGUAGUGAGAAUUUUUUUGGUUUAACGGAGCAAAUUGAGAUUUUGAACCCCUUUGAAUGAACAAAAUUAAAUUAACCCAUAAAUUAAAAGUGUUUGUUGAUUAUUAGUCCCUCUGGCUCUGUUUUUGUUCAUCAUGUAUUUCCUUGCUCUUCGAUGCUUUGUUUUUCAGAAAAGUUUAGGGUCGACUUACGAAAAAUCAAAUUCCAGAAUUCUCUUCUAUUUAAGAUAAAUUAACAUACUCACUUUGAGAGUGUUAAUCUCAUAAUAUGGUUUUUGUCAUGAAGUACCUGUUUGUCUCAAUUUUAUUCUUUUUUAUUUAUUCAUGUAAAAUUAAAUUAACUCAGGUGUCAGACAAUGGAGGGAUUGUUACACCAACCAAAGUACCCCACCAUAGCAAAAAAGAAAAAAAAAAGAUUGGUGUCUUCGAAAAAGCAUUGUUCCAUUUGUAAUUUUCAAGUGUAUACUUCAUCACUUCAAUAGGAACCAAAUCUUAUUAAAAAGAAAGCAUUAUCCUAAACUAAUGAUAUAAACAACUUUUUUUUUUUAAAAAAAAAUUAAUCAUGCAGAUCUCGAAAUCACCUAGACAGAUCACAACCAAUAAAUUAGUAAUUACUACAACAUAAACAAUUAAGGCCAGUGGCUGGUUAGUAUAUGACUUAGCCAGCUCCAAGUCAUUGAGUAUGGAAUCUAUGAAAUGCAAAAGAAAGCAACUGACCAAUGUGAAUCAUUUUUUGUUAUUAAGCCGCCAUCUUUGAAUCAUGUUCAUCCAAAUACUUUUGAUUACAAAAUUGUCAUCGGCACUCCAUUAUUGAUGCAUAUGGGCUGGAUUAAGAAGAUUUCAGGAAAGACUUCCAGGACCGUAUGAAAUCCUUCCAUUUUCCGUCAUCAUUAUGAGAAGUGCAAGACUGGCAAUGAUCAGUUUGCUUCAAGGUACAGAACCAUGGCAAAGAUGUUGUCCAGUAGAUUCUUCCCUUCGAAAGAGAGUGAGAAGAACUGGAGAAAGUACAUGGCACUAACUUGCAAAACUCCCCUUGAAGAAAUGCCAAGUUGUCCAAGCAUUUCAGAAAUUCCCAAAUUCUGAAAGACACCAAACCUGAGGCUUAUACUCCUCGAGUUUUAGGCUUCGGACCGAUUCAUCAUUGUCGUCUCGACUUACCUGAGUCGUCGAUGGUGUUAAAGCGUUUAGUACUCGCUGCUCGCAAUGUCAAAGUGGUCGAAAUUGUGAAAUUUCUGAAAAGUUUUCCAAAGGCCUUUUGAAGAGAGAAUCUACUCAUGUUAUGGCAACUACCUUGAUUUUUGUGAGGAGACCUUGAUGCUGAUUGUGAUUGUUGACUCCAUAUGCUUGCUUCAGCUCCUCCAAGAUCUGGAGAGCUACCAGGAAAGUCCAAAGAAGGUGCAGGAGGAAUUUAGUUUGAUGAUACCUGAUUUAAUGAUGCUGGAGAACCAAAUCCCAAUCGCUAUGAUUCUACCAGUGUUACAGCAUUGUAAUCCUGAAAAAGGGGUUCUUUAAGGUGGUGAACAUUCUAUUCGACAUUGCUUAUAAUUCCAUUAGCAGAUUUUCGCCAGUGAAAUUGACCAACGAUGACAGGGAACAUAUGAGAAAGAUCUGAGGUCCUCCACAACAUUUGCAGCGUUUUAUGUAUAAUUUGGUUGUGGGCAGGAAGCUUGCUGCAAUGUCACAACAUGGUAAUAAACUCCCAGGAUUGAUCGGGGAAAUAAGCCCUGAAUCUACAGGAUCUAACAUCUUGCAGCAGACAGGGGAAUCUCUGAUAUACGCUGGGAAGCAAGCCAGAGAGUUUUUCAUCCAGGCAAUUGGGGAAAUAAACUCUACAACCGCAGCUGCAAAAGCUGGAGGUCUCUAAGUCCCAGAAUGGUUGGACAAGACUGCACAAGGUGUUGCGAAGGCUGUGAGCUUCACUGAUCAUAAGAAGCCAGAAACUGUAUUCGAUGAAGUUCAUUCUGUUUCAGAACUUCACGAUAUUCCUAACAUAACCAUUCAUGCCCUUCCAGUCGGAUGUGGUUUCGGUAACAUUGAUUUUGACAAAACUAACAAAAAAGUCUACCUCCCAAUCAUGACUCUGAAUUAGUUUUCAGAAGUCAUAUUGAGAAAUUUGGUCGCGUUUGAAGCAUCAUAUGUGGAGUUUACAAGGUGACCAUCAUCAGAAGUUAGAGAUCAUAUGGGUCUAAUGUGUGCUAUUGUAAAAAAAAACGAUGUGCAGUUGCUGAAGGAUGCCAAGGUCAUAGAAACGCAAUUGAAAGAUGAAGAUGUAGUCAAAAUAUUCAAGUCAAUGAAGAUAUCCAUGGAAAAGCUAGGUCAGAAGUCCGAAUUCAUCGAUGCAUUUGGCAAAUAUACGAAUCAAGAUUUCGAUAAUCACCCGGUAGUCAAGGCCUGUAACUGGAUAAAGAAAUGGGCUCUUGCUUUGGUGAAUUAUGUAAAGCGAACUUGGCCUGUGUUUGUGGUGCUGCUGCUUUUUGUCCAAACGUUUUGUGGUAUCUACGAAUGCCGUCACCAGCCAUGGUUUGGGAUUAUAGCAGAGACUGCUGCAGAACAGCACCUUCCUUUGCAGGAUGCUUCAUUUUUAAGCCUGGACCUGCAAGCUGGACUCUCGAUACCCUGCAAACUUCUUCGAUAUUCCAUUUAGCUACAAAUUGGUGUCAAUUAUGGUGGUGCUUUCAUACGGUUCUAUACGAUUAUUGUAAUUGCUACAUUGUUUAGCGUAUAGUCACAUUACACUGUUGUGUUUAUGAAAAAGUUGAUGUAAGUGAACAAAACUUUACAUAUAUUCGAUACAACAAUAUAAUGUAAUUGCACACCAAAAAUCAUAAGUCACAAUAACCGGAUAAACACUAAACAACCAUUCCUGCGCCCAAUUGGAUGGGGCAGGUAAGAUCAGGCAUGGCGUAAUGGAUUCAAGGAACCGUGCAGGCUUAAUAGGGAGCUUAGAUUUGUACCAACUCUUGAUAGAAAAACAUCAACGUAUGCAAGUGUAAGCAAAAUGCUUAUAUUAAUCUUCAGCAACCGCAGAAAUACAUCACUGUCUUAGCCCCCGUCCCACCACCCAAGCUUUUGCCUAGUGUACCACUGCUAUUUGUGGAUUAAUACUUCUUACCCCCUUAUUAUUUAUUGGUAUGUGUGUCAGUUGUUAUGUUUGAUGUUUGUCUCGCUUGGAGACUAGCUAAUUUUGCUUUGUAUUAGUGAUCUAUGUUUGGAAAAGUGUCAAGUCAAUCUCCUAAAAUAAUGAUCAGUUGAUCAUCCUACCCUUAUGAUAUAUCUAGUGUAUGAUAAAAUGGUAAUUUUCUGAAACAUGCAAGGUGUUAGAACCCGAAUAUGCUGACUUUUCAGGCAUAACUGUGAAACAUUACGCUCAUACUUGAUAUGUUGCAAUGGGAAUAUGUUCCAAUGUUGAAAGGUGAAAGAACAUCUUUUGAGGAAAUAAUUAAGUAGUGUGCUCAUUAUGAUGGGUGGCUUUUACGAAUGGAGCCAAGUUAGACCUAAUCAAUGUAAAGGGGAAAUAAUUGAGUCUUCCAAAACAAAAAGUAGUGAGAGUAACUUUGAUGCAAAGAAAAUUAAGCAUUAUUUAGGGGUGCAAUUAUUCAACAGCAGGAGGUACAAGAGCAAGUUGUGCAGUUGAUGAUGACAAACACAAAAUUGGACCGCAUACCUUUAGCUUUAGUUCAUUGAUCAUAUAUCUUUGCAUCAGGUUGCCCGAAUUAGUAAAGAAUGACUAUUAUUGACAUGAUUUUGAUACGUAGAUCAAUAUAAACUGCUUGAUGAAGAUAGUAGCAGAUAUUUGACAGUAUUGGUUGGGAGUUCGGUUUUACACAGGGAUACUUGUAGUCGUUUCAUCUGUUUGUGCAUUUGAACCUUGGUCCUCUAAUCAAGAACAUAAGAAAGAGAUAAUGGGGAAAGGCGGAUUGGAGAUAAGCAUCAGCAUGGUGCUUAAUUUCUUUUUGUUGCUUGAAUUCUUGAAAAAGAGAAGCAAGCUUAGAAGAGGGCAAGAUAAACAGGAAACCUUGAUGUCUGGGGUGAAGUUUCCCACGCUGUCUUUGCCGAGGGAAUUAAUUGUUUGAACAAAUUAAGGGCAUGUCUAUGGUGAAAUUCAAUAGUUUAGGGAUGGAGACUGGAGUCUGGAGGGCGACAUCACAUAGCACGCAAUGAAGGAUGGAUUUCACCAUUUCAUUGUCCAAAUCAACCGAAUGAUGAGAAAAUGUUCCAUGAUAGAAAAACAUUUGGAUCCAUCUGAUUAAUUACACACAUAUUUGGAGUUUAAUGUUACGAUAACGAGCAAUUUGGAUCCGUUAGAUUAGUUGUAUAACAUUAUAUAUUUGAAAAAUUACAUAUAUUACUUGCAAAAGGGUUGCACAAUAACAUCUCGAUUUUAAUCUGAAAGCUCUUAUUAGUGAGGAUUUAACGGUCUGGAGAUGCUUCUUUUUCUCCAAAAUAAAAAUUCUUAUCCUGUUCGAUGAGACCGUUUAUAUACUACUCAAUGCUUUAUAUACCUAGAAGUUGUGCAAUGUGCAAUUCAUAUUGUCCUUCAAAUUUGAGUAGUUGAGGGAUUUUCUUUUAAGUGUAAGCAAGAGGGUUCGUAUUCGAAAUCUCUCACUUGCACUUUCUCCCUCAAUCACCUGGCCUGUCCCUCCCCUGAGUAGUUAAAGGUUUAUUUCAUUUUUGGUCCUUCAAACUAAUUCAAAAUCUCAAUUUGGAUCCCUUUAAUUGAAAAAAAAUCUCACCUCCAAAGUAGCAAACAAGUCAAUUUGGCCCUCAGACUAAAAAAAAAUCAUUUUGAUCUUCCAAAGUAGCACAAACUCCCAAUUUGAUCUCUUAAAUUGAAAAAUUCUCAAUUUAGUCAUCUGUUCAUAAAGUUGUUCCAAGUUGAUCGUUUGAGCCUUUUUACUAACGGCGCAUUCUCCUUACUAACGGCAUAUUCUCAAAAAUCUCUUUGACAUUUCUAACAAUUUUAUUGAGUUUUUCUUAAAAUUUACGUAGUUCUAGGAACCUUCAUUGGUGCAAUAAAAGGACAUCAAUGCCCUUUGGUUAACUCAUUAACCAUAUAGACUAAGGGCGGAAGCCCGGUAUCCACGUCGGACGUGGUCGUCCUCCGCGUGGCGAGGCGGGAUUGGCUGGAUGGUGACGUGGCGCGAAGUGAUUGGUUGGCAAGUGUGCUUGUUGCACCUGAUUUUUUUCUCCCCUUCGUUCCUCGUCCCGUCUUUCCUUCCGCCUGUUUAGUGCUACUGUUUUUGUCUGCAGGUGUUCGGUUGGGGUCGUCAGCUGCCUCUCUGCCCGCUGUUCAGGCUCCUCUCUACCAACUCCAACCUGCUUCUUUCUUUUUUUCUCCGCCACAUAUUGGUGUUGUUUCCACUCCAAAUUUUAUCUUGGUCGCACCUGAUUUUCCCACUGCUCUCUUCUUCGUUCGUCUUUCCUUUCGCUUGUUUUUGCUACUGCUGUGUUGCUUUCUGCCCGCUUCUUUUUCCCUUUUCGUCCACACCCUCAGGCUGUUUCCCUUGGCCUUUACGCUUUCCUUUCCUUGCAUUUGUUUCCUUCCACGUGCAACAGAUGGACAUACUGUCAGAGACUCAGAGUUGGUGAGACUUCCGUUGGGUUCAAUGCUUCACAGAACCGUCCUUUCCCCUUUCUCAAUCUCUCGCCCAUCCUCUGCUUCUUUAUUUAGAAAGCCCUCAUCCUCUCUUCCUCUUCUUCAUAUUUUCUCCGAAAUGGGUUCGAUAUUUUUGCUUAUUUUGAUGUUUUUUUGUUUAGUUUUUGUUUCUUUCUUUGUUUUCUUGAACUUGCAGUUACUCACAAUCACAUUUUGCUUCUCAUAGAUUGAGGACAAUGGAUUGAAAGUCCAUGAGAAGGAGAAAAAGAAUCAACUUUCCAGGUUGUGCUAUUUUCUUUAAUUUAUUUUUCAAUCUUUUUUCCAUUUUUACUCUAGAUUGUACCUUCAAAUUUUUGUAAGAAAAGUUUCUGAUUUCUGAUCUCUUGUUUAGUGCUUUAGUUUUGCUGCUGUUAAUGAUCUCAUUUCUACUAUAUAUUGGAUAGAUAGGGAUCUCGUUUUUCUUCUAAUAGAUUGAGGGAAAAAUGGAAGAAAAGUCGACAAGAAGAAGAAAAAAAGAUUUAGCUUUUCAAGGUUUCAAUUUUUCUGUAGUUUAUUUUCCAGCCAUUUUUCUAAUUUUAUUUUACGCUAAACUAGACCUUCAAGUUUCUGCUUCCUUCUCUUUUUUUUUUUUCUUUUUUAUUGAAGAUUAAAGGUUUUAAUUUCUUGUUUAGUUAUUUAGUUUUGCUGCUGCUAAUAGUCUUAUUUUGCUUUUAUGUCAUAUUUUGAUUUCUGUUUGGUAGAUUGAGGAAAAACGCAAGAAAAACUCACAAGAAGAGAUAGAUUUAGCUUUUUAGAUUGUGAUCUUUAUUCCCCAAUUAUCUUUGCAGAUCACCUAAGAUUCAGCUUUCAAGUUAUAUUCUAUUCUUUGGUUUCCACAAAGUAACUACGGGUAUUAUUUCUUAGUUUUGCCUUUUAUCUUUACUACUGGCUUCUUAACACGGAUGGUUAGGCAUAUGAGUUAUAGAUGGUACUGGGAGAUCCAGUUUGAAUUGUGUUUGGAAUAGAUGUCUUUUGUCAUUACUUAUCCAUUGCAAUAGUUGUGACUCUGUAUUUAGAGGAUGCAUACUUUGCAUAGAGUGGUGUAGUUGCAUUUACAAGUGUCGUUAACACUUACCACUAAAUGGCUUAUGGGUGUCUGAGUUUUGCAGCAGAACCAAAAGUAUUUAUGCUGUAAUUUGCUUCAGUACAAUAAUGAGUUUUUUGUUGAGCUUACGAUGUCUAGUGUGAGGAAAAAGUGCCUGCCAAAACUGUGUUUAUUUAGCCAAUCUCUUAACUCUGAUUUUUUUUUUUUGCCAUCUCACCUUUUGUUCAAUUUGUUGUAUGGGUUCCAGAUUUUUACUUCUUGCUCCAUUUAUUUGUCUCAAAUAUUCUGUGCAGAAGGCAUUCAAUGGAAAAUGAUAUUAUUUCUUAAUGUUUAUGUGCCAUCAUCCUGUAUAAGAAGGAAAGAUUUUUAUGCAUGCAGGGAUUGUACUUGGUUCAGAACCCAUGAUUGCAAUGUUUUUUUGUUUUUUCUUUUGGGUAUUUUGAGUAUCCAAAACUGAUCUGGUGUUUCUAAUAGGUAUUUUGUGUUAAGCUGAUCGCUGGUAGUGAUAGGAGGGAAGCUGCUUGGAUUAUUCUCACCAGCUUUAACGCUACUUAAGUUUGUUCUAUGUUUAGCCUUUUUCUCCUUAAUUUGGUAUGUUUAGUCUUUUGAUGUACUGUUGUUUACUUAAUGUUUCUUUUACCAUGAGAUCCUUGUAAUUUUGUAGUCUCUAAAUUUUUUAGUAAGAAAAUUUUCAUUUAUUGCAGAUUAUUUAAUACUCGAUUUGAAAUUGAUUUGUUAGCUUGCUUAUAUGCAGUUUCAAUGUAUUGAUGUAUUCAUCUUUUGGUUCAUAGUUUGUUUCCCAGUGCGCGGUGAAUACGAGAGGUUUGCUGCAAUGGAACAAACUAUUGUUUAGCUGGUACGAGAGGCGGAUCUGUUCAGCCACCACAAUUCUAGAUGUGCAAGGCCUGGUACGUUUGUCAUUUUGCAAAAUUGGUUGCCAUGGGGGCAGUGGUUCGUGAUUCGUGUCUUUAGAAAAUACCUUACUAGAUAAUAACAUUUUUCCUUUGAUUGGUGCCAACUUGUUUGUGCUAUAUGCGCUGAAAAAGCUUUUCAGCAUUGAAGCAACUAAUAUUUUAGGAUGGUAUCAGUGUACUGUGCUUUUGACAGAAAUUUACAAAUUGUUGACUAGCUUGUACAUGCUUCCAGUUCCUUUUAAAGAUCAUUUUUUUACAGUUGCAUCAGAUACUGUUGUAAAUAACAGCAGGGAACUUUUGAACACAGGGAGUUAAAAAAUUUUCAAGGACAACUGCUAAUUUUUUGGCAUCCAUGACAAAAAUUAACAAAAAUUACUAUCCUGAGGUAUUAAGUAGCUCCUGUCAAAUUCAGUUUAUGGAAAUAAAUAAUUACUCUGUUAGAUACAAUUAUUGGUGAAUGUGGCUUUGGUUUUUCCCUGUAAUUGUUGCAGACACUCCAUCGGAUGUUCAUUGUUAAUGCUGGCCCUGGUUUUAAGAAGGUGCUCUGGCCUGCUGCACAGAAGUUUCUUGAUGCUAAAACUAUUGCAAAAAUUUAGGCAAGGCUGUGUGCCUCUCUCUCUCUCUCUCUCUCUCUCUACCUUUACUGUGGCUCAGAUUCGAUAAAAUCACAUUGUCCAAAUUUGCAGGUUCUGGAGCCUAAGUCUUUGGGAAAACUACUUGAAGCCAUUGACUCAAGGUUUACUUCUACUUUUAGGUCGUCCUGUUUGUGAGAAUUUCAAUUAUAGCAUCCUGACUUUUUUUUUAAUGUUUUUUCAGUCAAUUGCCUAAUUUUUUGGGUGGCUUAUGCUCUUGUCCAGUUGAAGGAGGAUGCCUCUCAUCUAAUAUGAGUCCUUGGAAUGAUCCUGAUAUAAGGAAGGUAGGUACAUGCUUACCCAGUGGACCCUGUAUUUAUUUGAAUAUGUUGUUCAGGUACUUUGAUUUAUGUUUCAUAUUAUGCUUUAAAGCAAAACCUGAUUAUGUUUUAUUUUUUGGGAGUUUGUGCUACAUCACGUCAAGAUGUAUGACAUUUAUUGAUUCAAAAUUGCAGCUUGUAUAUAAUGUGGAAACAAAGUUUGUGAGGCAGAUUACUAGAGUAUCUGGCGAUGACCAGAAAGUUGACUUGUAUAUACAGACAUUCCCUUUGAAGGUAAUUCAGAUUUGAAAAUGUCUCACAGGGUGCUCUAAUAUUUACUUUUCUUGCUGCGUGAUGUGAUGUCAUUAUGUAAACAGGGAAGUAGUAGUUAUACAUCAGUAGUUCAAUCAAGAUUGGAUGUAGAUGAUUCUUGUUCUCCAACUAGAAAAAGUAGCUUCACAUUUCCGCGAUUGUGUAAACCUCAAUCCUAGCUUCACAUUUCGUGAGGCUAUAUGUGCAUUAAUACAGCUGUCUGCUUUCGUUUUGUCAUAAUUUUUGCGUUUGCUUGCUUUGCUUUUGUUGCAGUUUUUUCUUUGCUUCGGAGGCAUUACUUGCUCUGCUCUAUUUUCUCCUGUAUGAACAGGACUGGAUUCACUGCUCGAUUGAUGCCUUGAGUUGUUACUGAAUCUGUCUGUAUUUCACUUUUGUAUUUCAAAGACUAGAACAAUGGCUUCAUGGAGCCCUGAGCCAUCAUGGUUAUCUUACUAUAAUUUUCAUGUAUAAUUUUCAUUAAUAUGCCUGUAUAAUAUAGUUCCAUUUUAUAGUUCCAUUUGAUUGUACUCCAUUUCACUAAUUUUCAUUCUCACCAACAUUACUAGCUAAACAUUAACUGGGCAUAUACCACCGCGCGGUGCGCGGUGGAUACCACCUAGUGAAACAAACAAAACAAACUAGGAACUAGUCGCUCUUCUCCAAUCUCAACCAAUGGCUCCAACUAUAGCCGUCCUCUUCCAUUUCUCUGGUGUCUGUUCCUUAUUCCCUGCUUUUUUUCAUUGUUAUUAUUAGAACCUUUCCUUUUUUUUCCCCUUUUAUUUUUCAAUUUUUGGCAAAUAUUAGCAAAUUGAAAUUCCCAAAUCACAAAAUGAGUGAGUGGUUUCUUGUCAAACAAGGUAGAAGAUGAAUAUAAUGGCAGUGAUUAACACAAAAAAUGAUAAAAUACCAAAAAACUCCAUAUGAUUUGCCGAAUGUUCUAUUUUAUUCCCUUUGAUUUCGAAACCUACAGUAUGACUCCUGUGGUUUUAAUUAAAUUGAGAAUUGGACAGAAAGCAUGCAAUUUGAAUUUAAUGGUUAUAUGUAAAAUACCUAUAUUGUCCCUGUAUAAUGAAUACAUCAGGAGAAUUUUUCUUCAUUCUUGGACUUGUAAUUCGAAGAAUGGAGAGAAGUAGAGAGAAGUAAGAAAAAACCCUAAAUUCAAAAUUUCCCAAAUUCUUUCAAGAAUCAGUGGAGGAUUCUAGCAAAAUAGGACAUCACUUGCCAGUUCAUCCUCAUACUUGUACUGAUAUCUCAAAUCCCUUAGCAUUCUUUCGGUUCCUUUUAUAAUUAUAUAACUUGUACUGAUAUCUCAAAUCCUUACUUCUACUGCCGCUUCGAUAACUUAAGGAAGACAUUUUAGAAGACAUCUCAUACCAAGUUAGAUUCUGAAAUCACCAAUUUCACUCCUAAUCCCUUACUAUUUUAGCUUUGAUCCGAGAGAGGAGAAGUAUUUGGAGAAUAACGGGAUAAGAAUUUAGAACCCUUCCUCUAUCUUUCUUCAGCUUUUAAUCUCGAUAUAGGGGCGUUUUCGAUAAGUGCAGGUAUUAAAUAUUAUUUAUUGCAAGUCAAACUCUCACCAGAAGCUUGUAACUCUCAUGUACUGUUAGAUUGGAUACUUUCUAUUUAAUUUUCAAUUUAGUCGAAAUCACAGGGAGUUAUAGUUAAGUUUUCAAAGCAAAGAGAGUUAAAUUAAACAUUCGAUAAAUCACAAGGAGUUUUUUUAUAUAUUACCCAAGAAAGGGUGACGGGAGUAGGAAGAGCGAUCGAAUGAGGAAUUUUGUUAUUUUAUUUGUUGUGGGAAAAAUUUUCUCGGAUAUCAAUGAUAGCAUUUGGAUUUCUUUUCUUUAUUUGUAAUUGUAGGUGAUGGUUUUCCUAGAAAGACUGAAUUUCAGAGAUUUUAACUUAUGUUUCUAGACUGUCAUGAAGUAUAGUGGAUUAUAUUCUUCACCACACUAGACGGUACUCUUGGUAUUAAUAUUUGUGAUGGUGACCUGGAUUAUUAUGUGUUAGGAAGAUGGCAGGGAUGGUGUUGGAGUUUGGGGCAUGGUAUUGAUGGAUAAAGUGUUACUGGUUCAUGAAAGGUUGGUAUUAUAUUGUAGGCAAGCUUUUGGGUGUUCAUUAUGGCGGUUUUAGUUGAUUCAAUGCUUAAUUGCAGUCAAAGCCUGUAGGUAAUAGAGAGGCAUUUUGGAACCACAGAAACCGCUGGAACUGUUGAGUUGCUUGGAUAUUUUGGCAUUGAGUUCGAGUGAUUGCCUGAUUGGUUUCAUAGGGUGAUGGGUUUUGUAGCAAAACGUAGCAGGUAUAGCAAGCAAGGAUAAAUUCAUAAAGUAGACAAAGAUAACCAUUCUUCUCUCUCUCUCUCUCUCAUUUUUUCUUUUUCUUUUUUUAAUCAUAACAAUAAGGGUAGUUUAGGAUUUUAAAGAAAAAUCUAGUCUUUUAGAUCUACAAUGUUACUUAAACAGUGAAAAAUAGAGAAAUAGGUGUAAUUUUUAAAAUUUAAAAGAAUUGCCUGCAAUUGUCACAAACCUUGGGGAGGUUUGUAAAAUUAUCCCUUCAUUAAAGCAAUAAAAAAUUGGUUGUUUGUAGAAGGAUAUUAACUGCAAAAGAAAGAAAAUAAACCAAGUUAUUUUAGUUAUUCAAUAUGAAGUUUUGCGGGAUGAUAAAUUGCAAUCUUUUGCUGAUUACUUUUGAUUCUUCUGUGGAGCAAAAUUAGGUCCCGUUUGAUAAAUGAUUUUUUUGGAUGUUUGUCUAAAAUUUUAUUGUAAUUUAUUGUAGAAAUUGUAGAAAAAAAUUUUAAAAUGGAAAACUUUUGUUUUCUUUUUCUUUCUUUCUUUUUUGUUUUCUUUCCUCUCUUCUUCUUUUCGCUUCCCUCUCCCCUCUCCCUCCCCCGCCACCUCUUUUUUUUUCGUUUUUCUCUCUCCCCCUCUUCUCCCUCUUCCCCUUUCCUCCCUUCUCCCCCUCUUCCCCCUCGAACAAGCAGCACUAGAAACAAAUUAUUAUUUCUUUUUUGCAAUUUUCUCUCUCCCUCUCUCCUCUCCCUCCCUCUCCCCCUCUCCUCCCUUUCCCCCUUCCGGGCUACCCUCCCCCCGGCGUGAUCUAUAGGGUGGCGGGGAAGGGAGGGGGAGAGUUGUGGCGGGGGAGAGGGGAGGAGAGGGGGGGAAAGUAAGGGAGGGGAGGAGGAGAGGGAGAAGAGAAAGAAAGGAAAAAGAAAAGGGGCCGACACUGGAACCGAUGCUGGCCGGUCUUGGUUGGCGGAGAAGGUGGUGGUGGGUUGAGGUGGAAGAAGAAAGGAGGAAUGGAAAAUUUUUUGUAUGUUUUGGAUAUUUUGAAGGGUGUAAUUUAAAAAUUUUGAGAAUUUUUUUGAGUUUAUUGUAAUUAAAAUUGUUAAAAAACUUGUAAGAGACAAACUUGACCAAAAACUCCUUUGCCAAAUAGGCCCUUAGAUGUUUUAUAAAGGAUAAAUACUGCACUAGUCCAUCUUACCAAAAGAAUGGAAUUUUUUUCAUUGAAAUAAUUAAAAUAGGGAAACUUUAGUAGAAUGAUUAAAUAAUCAUUCUGGGUUUUUGUCUUUAAUAGUUUGAUUUCUUCGUACUUAUUAAAUAUGCAAUAUAAUAAUAGGUUGGUGGUGACAUUUUGCUACUUUGGUGGUGACAUUUUUUUGGUUUAACGGAGCAAAUUGAGAUUUUGAACCCCUUUGAAUGAACAAAAUUAAAUUAACCCAUAAAUUAAAAGUGUUUGUUGAUUAUUAGUCCCUCUGGCUCUGUUUUUGUUCAUCAUGUAUUUCCUUGCUCUUCGAUGCUUUGUUUUUCAGAAAAGUUUAGGGUCGACUUACGAAAAAUCAAAUUCCAGAAUUCUGUUCUAUUUAAGAUAAAUUAACAUACUCAGUUUGAGAGUGUUAAUGUCAUAAUAUGGUUUUUGUCAUGAAGUACAUUUUAUGAUUAAGUACCUGUUUGUCCGAAUUUUAUGCUUUUUAUUUUUUUAAAAAAAUUAAAUUAACUCAAGUAUUUGACAAUGGAGGGAUUGUUACACCUACCAAAGUACCCCACCAUAGCAAAAAAGAAAAAAAAAGAUUGGUGUCUUCGAAAAAGCAUUGUUCCAUUUGUAAUUUUCAAGUGUAUACUUCAUCACUUCAAUAGGAACCAAAUCUUAUUAAAAAGAAAGCAUUAUCCUAAACAAAUUAAUAAUAUAAACAACUUUUUUUUUUUAAAAAAAAUAUUAAUCAUGCAGAUCUCGAAAUCACCUAGACAGAUCACAACCAAUAAAUUAGUAAUUACUACAUAAACAAUUAAGGCCUGUGGUUGGUUAGUAUAUGACUUAGCCAGCUCCAAGUCAUAUUGACUCAGACCAGAAAUCAACCCUCAAGUCAAUGGUGUAACAUAUUCCCUAUUGUUGAGUAUUAGUUUCGUUUGGCUCUCUAUUUGUUGAUGUAUUUUUUCUGAAUACUUUUUGAUGCUUCCUGUUUGGAUUGCAACUCUUUGGUGUUUUUGUCUAUGUUUUCAGAAUCGGAUCGGAUAGCGACUCGGCCGAGGUCAGGGGUCAGGGGUCAAUGGGUUCGACCGGGGGUCGAUAGGGGUCGAACCGGAUGACGUCAUAAAUAAAAAUUAUUUAAAAAUUAAAAUAUUAUAUAUAAAAUAUCUAAUAAUAUAUUGAUAUUAAUAAAGGUAUAUCCAUAUAUAUUUGAUGUUUCAAAUAUAUUUAACAAGAAAAUACAAAGAAAUUAGAACAAUCAAGUAGCAAUUUAUAUUAUUUAAUAAAUAUUAACAAGUUUAGAAUUAAAAUUAUGAAUUUAAUUGAAAAAUAACAUCAAAUUUUAGGAUAAUAUUUAUAAAGUAUCAAAUAUUUGAGGUAUAUCAAUAAGUUUUAACAAUUUAGGGGGUCAAAACAUAAUAUUAAAAAGUUUGAAUUUUUUUUAAAAAAAAAUACUGUUGAACCGGAAAAAUCGGUUUUUUUCCGGUCAAACCCGGUUUUUGACCGGCUUUGACCGGGUUUUGAAAUUUCCGGUUUUUUAAUGUGACUCGAACCGGCUACCUGGCCGGUUCCCGGUUCGACCGGCCGGUCCGGUCCGAGUUUGAAAACAGAGGUUUUUGUAAACAAAAAAAAAAAAAUGUAAAAAAUGAUUCAUGUGAACUAAGCAGAUGAUCAGAAAAUGUGUUUAGAGUUUUUUCUUUUAAAAGAAAAGUCAAAAUCCAAAAGCCAAUAGAUUUUAGAAAAGUUUAGGGAUUGAUGAGACAAAGUUACCAAAAUUUUCAUCUAUUUAAGAUACAUUAGCAUCCUCAGGUUGAGAGUUUUAAACUCCUAAUUUGGUUUUUUGUCAUGGACAAAAUUUUAGGAUUGACCUAACUAUUUGUCUCAACUUUAUGCUUUUUAUCUUUUUUGUGUUUGCUAUUGAAUUAAGUCAAGGAUCAGACAAUGGGAGGAUUGUUACACCUACCAAAGAACCCCACCACAAAAUUUAUGCCUUCACAAAGGAUUGUUCCAUUUGUGAUUUUCAAAUGUAUAAUUUCAUGGCACUUGAAUGGCAACCAGAUCUCUUGAAGAAGACAGCAUAAUCCUAAAUAAAUAAUGUAACAACUUUUAGAAAAGUUUAAUCAUGCACAUUAAUUUCAAAAUCACCAAGAUAGAGCAUAACAUUAUACAAACAAUAAAUUAGUAAUCACUGCAGAAACAAUUAAUUAAGACCGGUGUGAAUCAUUUUUGGUUUCCUAGGCCGCCAAUUUUGAAUCACGUUAGUCCUAAUAUUUUUUUAUUAGGAAAUUGUAAUUGAAGCUCCAUCAUUGAUUUUCACAAAAACUUGUAGGACCACGUUCCAUCACCAUUAUAAAAGCACAAGACUGCUAACUGAGUUUGUCUCAAACCUAUAGCAAUCAGCAAAAAUGUUGUCCAGUGCAUUUUUCGCUUCAAAAGAGAGUGAAAAUAACUGGAGAAACUACAUGAUACUUACUUACAAAACUCCCCUAGAAACUAUACCAAGUGGUCCAAGCAUUUUUCAACUUUCCAAAAUUUUGAAAGACACCAAGCCUGAGGCUUAUAUUCCCCAGAGUUUAGGCCUCGGACCAUUCCAUCACUGCCGUCCCGAACUUCAGGAGAAGAUGCUCUGGAUAAAGCGUGCAGCACUCAGUAUCCAUAACGUUGAACUCCAGAGAAUCAUGGAACUUCUUAAGAGCCUUCCAUGGCCAUUUGAAGAGAGAAUCCAAUCAUGUUAUGGCAGCUACCUUGAUUUCGACAAGGAAACCUUAAUACUGAUUGUGAUUGUGGACUCCAUAUGCUUGCUUCAUGCUCUUGAUGUUCUAGAGAAUUAUAAGGGACAGCCAGGGGAGGAGGAGGAGGUGGAACCCAGUUUGAUGAUUUCAGAUAUGAUGAUGCUCGAGAAUCAAAUCCCGAUUACUCUGAUUGAUCUAGUGUUACGGGAUGAGACUCUGGCAGAGGAGUUCACUCAGCUGACUAGUCUGUUUGAUAUUUUCUACGAAUUCGUCAGCAAACUAUCUCCAGUGAAAUUGGCCGACGAUGACAGGGAUUAUAUGAGAGAGAUUUGGGGUCCUCCAAAACAUUUGCUGCAUUUUAUGUAUAAGUUCGCUGUGGGCAGGAAGUUAGCUGUAAUAGUAGAAUCUCGUAAAUUCGUCCCAGGAUCAACCGAGGAAACGGACUCUAUUACCAGCCAAUCACUGGCAUCCUCGAUGCAAUCAACUGUGGAAAUAAACUCUGCAGCGGAAGCUGAAUCCACAGUAUCUAAUAUACUCCGGCAAACAGGGGAUUCUCUAGUAUAUGCUGGGGGGCAAGCCGGAGAGUUCUUCAUCCGGGCAAUUGAGGAAAUAAACUCUUUAACUGCGGCUUAUAAAGAUGGAGGUCUCAGAGUGCCAACAUGGUUCGACAAGACUGUACAAGGUAUCGGGAAGGCUGUGAGUUCCAGUGAGAUGAAGCAGGCCAGUGCUUUGGAUAAAGUUCAUUCUGUUUCAGAACUCUACAACAUUCCUAAGCUAACAUUUCAUGCCCUUCCAGUUGGAUGUGGUUUCGGCAACAUUGUUUUUGACAAAAUUAAGAAGGUAGUAUACCUCCCAAUGAUGACUCUGCAUGCAAAUUCGGAAGUCAUAUUGAGAAAUUUGCUGGCGUUUGAAGCAGCAUAUAAGGAUGCCAGACAAGGGCCGCAAUCAGAAGUCAGAGACCAUAUGUGUGCUAUCAUAAAAACUGAAAAAGAUGUGCAGCUGCUCAAGGAUGCCAAGGUCAUCGAAACGCAAUUGAAAGAUGAAGAUGUAGUCAAGCUAUUCAAGUCGAUCAAAAAAAACAUGGAAAGGCUAGGUAAUAAGUCCAGUUUUAUUGAUGCUUUCGGCAGGUACACGAACGAAGAUUAUGACAAUGUCCCAAUAGUGAAGGCCUGUAACUGGAUAAAGAAAUGGGCUCUCGCUUUCUUGAAUUUUGUGAAGAGAAUUUGGCCUGUGUUUGUGGUGCUGCUGCUUUUCCUGCAAACGUUAUGUGAUAUUUACGACUGUCGUCGCUGGCCGUGGUUCGGGACUACCCGGGAGACUGCAGAUCUUCCUUUGCAGGAUUCUUCAUUUCUAAGCCUGGAACCCAAAGCUGAACUCUUGAAACCACGCAAAUUUCUUCAUUAUUAUAGUUAAAUGCUGGAUGGAGAAGGUACGGCUAUGUUUGGUGCGAUUGCAUGGGUGUUGGUGUGUUAACAUUUGCAUCAUUUCUCUUGUCAAAACAUCAACCUGUACAAGUGGACAAAAUUCUUCCAGCAACUAUAUGCAACCGAACAAAUACACAGCCAUACUUGCCUUUUAAGUCCACGACCACCUAAAUUUUGCUUGUGGAAUGGGCUAAUAGGGCAUUACUAGUAUAAUUGUGCCCUGUUGUUAUUUGUUCCUAUAAUGUGAGUAGUUGUAUUUAUCUGUUUUGCAAACUAGCUAGUUCCUUGUAGUUCAUAAUAGUCUCAACUUAGUUUUUUUAAUUUAAUUUUCCUUACUUUAAGUUUAAGAAAGGGUUAAUUUUGAUAAGAUUGGUAGGCUACAAUAAUGGCGUAUCUAGUGGAGUAAAAUUGCGAAUUGGUGAGACAUUAUAACUUGUUACAAUCCUGAUAUGGUGAUUGGUGACUACUAGGGGAGAAGUGUAAACAUUAGAGACGAACUUAAUAUGAUGAAAUAAUACAAGUUAACUCAUGCUGUUUAUCUAAAACAUGACCCGCCAAAACUUUAAGCUCGGGUCCAGCAUUAAUUUAAGGCUUUUUUUUUGACAAAUUAGUUUAAGGCUUUAAGCUAUUCAAGGGAGAUUAGUGUACUAUUGACAAGUAUAGAGUAAAAAUUGCAUGCAAUUAUUGGCAGGGGUGACAUCGAGUUAGAGUUGAACUCGAGUAGCACUAUACUCGCGCUCAAACAUGACACUUAAAAAGUGCAAGUCGAGAUCAAACUCGGAGUCAAAUGAGUAGUAAAGAUGAUGCUCUGACUCGAGCUCGGUGUCAUGUUCGAGAACUUGAACUCAAGUCAAGUAGGCUCAAUCGUGCUGUCAAGUCCCACUUCCAGAAUUGCAGAAUUUCACAGCACUCUUCACAAAAUGAUAAUACACAAUAUUUGCUUAAUUGCCUGCCCCAAAUACCAAUAGCAAACAAUAGUUUCCAUCAUCAAUAACCUGUAAAGCUAUAAAAAGUGCCCCAAAGCCAUGUACAGCUGAAAUGGUUCACGGGUUCAAGCAUCAGAGGGUCCUGUCUCCUAAUGCUGAAGUACUGAACUAUUGACACCUCAAGACUUGAGGCAAGUCUCAGGAAACAUUUAGUAGUAUGCUAGUCUGCAAUAAAUCACUAAUCCAUUCCAAUACUCAUUUCCUCCAGAAAAGAGCAGUAAAAGAAACAUGAGACUAAUAAAAAGGUAAAGCGCCAUAUCAUGAAUUCAUUAUAGGAUAUUCAACAAGCAAACAUGGUCCUUUUGUUUUCUUUAAUUUCAGAUCCUUGAGACUAUUUCAUAUAAAUUUGUUCUUUAAAUUCACCACGCAAGAAAGUUGUCUUAACAUCAAGUUGUUUUUAUUACAAGUCACACACGACAACUAAAACAAGCAAAACAUGAAUAGAAUUAUGCUUAACAAUAAGUAAACACGCAUUAUUGAAAUCAACAUAUUAUAUAUGACUAUAUUCUUUUGCAAUCAAUCGAGCUUUUGCACGUAGGAUUUUCAACUCUUGGAAUAUCUUCCUUUUUCUUUUAUUGCAUCCAAUAAUUUUCUUACAUAAAGAUGGCUUCAUAAGAAUUCAAGUUCUAUUUUGGCGAAGAAUCUAUUUUGCCAUUCAUCGCAAUCAAGUACCUAAUGGAAUCAUCACAAGAAACUACUUGAGUAGAUAGAAGGCUCACCAACUCUAUCUAUUUCUAUCCUAGAAAUAGAGAGGGUAACUAUAAAAAAAAAAAAAAAAUUAAUAGUUACAUGAGGCAAUGGUGGAAUUAGAUAGAAUAUUUCAAAAAUUUAUGGAGGGCAAAAGUAGGGCAAUUAUACACACUCUAAACUUUGUCUAAGUUAUUCUAUAGGCUUUUAAAAAUUGAGGGGUUCAAUGUGGCUCCGCCCCUGAUGUACAUCAGCACAUCUCCAAAUCACACAGACAGGACAUAAACAAUAAAUUAGUAAUUAAUAUACAAACAAUUAAGGCCAGUGGUUGGUUAGCGUGUGGCUUAGCUCCAAGUCAUUGAUUAUGGAUUCUACGAAAUGAAGAAGAGAGCAACUGACCCAUGUGACUCAUAUCAUACUAUAAUAUAAUAUAUCAAUUGUUCCAAAAACCUGCUUAAUCCUUUAGGAACAGAACAUGAUAGGCCAUACGACGGGUCUUAUGCCGGGUGCCCGACUCAACUUGAAUCAGCUCUCAUCAUAAUCUUUCUUUUUCCUCCAUACAAUUACAACCCUUAUUCAUAAAAUCAAUAAGAAGAUUGAUAAAAAUACUACUAAAAUUACUAAUAAAAAUGCUACAACUACCCAAUUAUUCAAUCUAAUUAACCUUUUAGGCAGCCCUAUUGAUACAGAUUGAUGGAUUGAAGAACCAGGGGUUCCUCGAACUGUAUCAAAUUGCUCAUAAAGACCACAGAUAAGUUGCAAGUUUCUCAUAUUGUCAUUUUCUCGGAACUUAAAUUUUUCUCUGCUAUCCCUCAAACUUCUUUACCUUCUUCUUUCCUACCAUCACAUUUCACCAAUCCUUCUAUUGACAUAUUUCUUGAGUGUGUCCUUCCAAUGAAUGCAUUUCUUUAGCUCUAUAACAGUCCUCUAAGCCUUCUGAUGAGUUGCCUUCUUCAAUGGAUCCAUCACCUCCUUCAAUGGUUCCAUCACCUCCUUCUUCCUCUCGGUAUCUCUCUCAGGUAAGAACUGAACCAGCUUAUCUUCAUGAUUAUCAUUAUUUUUCUGCUUUAGAUGCUUUUUCCUUUAAUUCAUUGUGGCAGAAAGUUAUGCAAGAAAAGUUAGAUGCUUUGCUUCAAAUUCAUACUUGGGAUUUGGUCCAUUUGUCUUCUUGCAAAACUUUUAUUGGCUGUGAAUGGGUUUACAAAAUCAAAACUCACUUUGAUGGGUCAAAAAUACCAUGAUUUCGACAAGGAGACCUUGAUGCUGAUUGUGAUUGUUGACUCCAUAUGCUUGCUUCUGCUUCUCCAAGAUCUGGAGAGCCACAAUAAACGUCGAAGGAAGGUACAUGAGGAAUUCAGUUUGAUGAUACCUGAUUUAAUGAUGCUGGAAAACCAAAUCCCAAUACCUAUGACGCUACAAGUGAUACAGCAUUGCAAUCCUGAUAAGGGGUUCUUUAAGGUGGUGGACAUUCUAUUCGACAUGGUUUAUAAUUCCAUCAGCAGACUUUCGUUAGUGAAAUUGUCCAAUGACGACAGGGAACUUAUGAGAAAGAUUUGUGGUCCUCCACAACGUUUGCUGCAUUUUAUGUAUAGUUUGGUUGUGGGCAGGAAGCUUGCUGCAAUGUCACAACAUGGUAAUAAACACCCAGGAUUGAUCGGGGAAAUAAGCCCUGAAUCCACAGGAUCUGACAUAUUGCAGCAGACAGGGGAAUCUUUGGUAUAUGCUUGGAAGCAAACCAGAGAGUUUUUCAUCCAGGCAAUCGGGGAAAUACUCUCCGCAAUCGCAGCUACAAAAGCUGGAGGUCUCAAUGUGCCAGAAUGGUUGGACAAGAGUGUACAAAGUGUUAUGAAGGCUAUGAGCUUCACUAAUCAUAAGAAGCUGGAAACUGUGUUCGAUGAAGUUAAUUCUGUUUCAGAACUUACGAUAUUCCAAACAUAACCAUUCAAGCCCUUCCGGUCGGAUGUGGUUUUGGUAACAUUGAUUUUGACAAAACUAACAAAAAAAUUUGCCUCCCAAUCAUGCCACUGGAUUCGUUUUCAGAAGUCAUAUUGAGAAAUUUGGUCGCAUUUGAAGCAUCUUAUGUGGAGUUUAUGAGGGCCAUCAUCAGACGUUAGAGAUCAUAUGCGCUGUUAUGAGAAAUGUUAAAGAUGUGCAGCUGCUGAAAGAUGCCAAGGUCAUAGAAAUGCGAUUGAAAGAUGAAGAUGUAGUCAAGCUAUUAAAGUCAAUGAAGAUAUCCACGGAAAAGCUAGGUAAGAAGUCCGAAUUCAUCGAUGUUUUUGGCAAAUAUAUGAAUCAAGAUUACGAUAAUCACCCAGUAAUCAAGGCCCGUAACUGGAUAACGAAAUGGGCCCUUGCUUUGGUGAAUUUUGUAAAGUGAAUUUGGCCUGUGUUUGUGGUGCUGCUGCUUUUUGUCCAAACGUUUUGUGGUAUCUACGAAUGCCGUUGCCAGCCAUGGUUUGGGAGUAUGUCAUGGAGUGAGCUGUGUGAAAGAAGGCCACGUGUUUAGAUUGUAUUGGGAGCCAUGUGUUUAAUUCUUAUUGGUGUAGUUAGAAGUUUGUUAGAAAUUGAUAGCUUUAUAAGUAGACAUGUCUGCUUCAUUGUAUGAGGAGAUUUUUGAAUUAUUCCAUCCGAAAUUGGUUGUAGUAACCUGAGGAGCAAUCCUCAUUUUUUCCUCCCAAAUUUCCUUCAGAUCUUCCACAUUCUUAGCUGAAUUCAUUACCUCUGUUCUUGUAAUUUGUUUUCCAGAUUCAUUAAUGAAAGUUGAGCUC
rnacentral:lncRNA from 1 species